AAAGAGUGCGUAACAGCUCACUAUUCGAGUGGUUCAGCGUGGAUAAUAAUCGGGUAUCAAACAUAUCACCGAAGCUAUAGGAUGGCUCUGUAAGGAGCGAUCGGUAGGAGAGCAUUGUAGUGGCGUUGAAGGUUUUUGGAAACGAAGGCUGGAGCGACUAGAAGAGAAAAUGUAGGCAUGAGUAACGAAUAGAAGGGUGAGAACCCCUUCCGCCGUAAGACUAAGGGUUCCUCAGCUAUGCUAGUCAGCUGAGGGUUAGUCGGUACCUAAGGCUAAGCCGCGAGGCUAUGUCGAUGGGAAACGGGUUAAUAUUCCCGUACUUUUUUAUACUGUGAAGCGAGGACGAAGGGAUGAAAGUGACGCGUACUGACGGAAUAGUACGUUGAAGGUUACAAGGCUAUGAGAGCUAUGGUUAAGUACGUAGUUUGAGCUGAGUGCCGAUAGUACCACAAAGCUUCGGUGGCGUGGAUAGUUCACCUAAGAACUUCCGAGAAAAGUCGCUAAACAUCAGGUAUAAAGGAGCCGUACCGUAAACCGACACAGGUAGUCGAGGAGAGUAUCCUAAGGCGGACGAACUAACUAUGGCUAAGGAACUAGGCAAAAUGGAUCCGUAACUUCGGGAGAAGGAUCACCUCCUUAUCUUCGGAUAAGAGGUCGCAGUGAAGAAGCCCAGGCGACUGUUUAUCAAAAACACAGCUCUAUGCUAAAUCGUAAGAUGAUGUAUAUGGGGUGAAACCUGCCCAGUGCCUGAAGGUUAAGUUGAAUUGUUAGGAAAGUUUACUUUCUGAAGCAUAAGAUAUGAAGCCCAGGUGAACGGCAGCCGUAACUAUAACGGUUCUAAGGUAGCGAAAUUCCUUGUCAGGUAAUUACUGACGUGCACGAAUGGUGAAACGAUCUCUCAGCUGUCUCAACAAUAUGCUCGGUGAAAUUAUGGUACCAGUAAAAACGCUGGUUACCCGCAACUAGACGAAAAGACCCCGUGGAGCUUUACUACAGCUUUGUAUUGAUUAUUGAUUUAUUAUGUGUAGGAUAGGUGGGAGACUUUGAAGCUAAGACGCUAGUCUUAGUGGAGUCAUCCUUGAAAUACCACCCUUGAUGAAUUGGUAAUCUAACCUGCUUCCAUUAUCUGGAAGGGGGACAGUGCAUGGUGGGUAGUUUGACUGGGGCGGUCGCCUCCAAAAGAGUAACGGAGGCGCUCAAAGGUACCCUCAAUAUGGUCAGAAACUAUAUGUAGAGCGCAAAGGUAAAAGGGUGCUUAACUGCGAGACCUACAAGUCGAGCAGAGUCGAAAGACGGACUUAGUGAUCCGGCGAUUCCGUGUGGAAGGGUCGUCGCUCAACGGAUAAAAGCUACCCCGGGGAUAACAGGCUUAUUUUCUCCAAGAGAUCAUAUCGACGAGAAAGUUUGGCACCUCGAUGUCGGCUCAUCGCAUCCUGGAGCUGUAGUAGGUUCCAAGGGUUAGGCUGUUCGCCUAUUAAAGCGGUACGUGAGCUGGGUUCAGAACGUCGUGAGACAGUUCGGUCCCUAUCUGUUGUGGGCGUUGGAAUAUUGAUGAGAUCUGCUCUUAGUACGAGAGGACCAGAGUGGACGAACCGAUGGUGAACCAGUUGUCUUGCCAAAGGCAUAGCUGGGUAGCUAAGUUCGGAAAGGAUAACCGCUGAAAGCAUCUAAGUGGGAAGCCUACUUAAAGAUUAAUAUUCCCUUGAGAUUCCUUGUAGACUACGAGGUUGAUAGGCUGGACGUGUAAGUGUAGCGAUACAUUAAGCUUACCAGUACUAAUAAAUCGAUAGGUUUAAAACU
rnacentral:rRNA from 1 species